GACAGAGGGGGCAAGCGUUGUUCGGAAUCACUGGGCGUAAAGGGCGCGUAGGCGGGCUGGCAAGUCGGUCGUGAAAUCCUUCGGCUCAACCGAAGAACGUCGGCCGAUACUGCCGUUCUUGAGGGAUGCAGAGGAGAUUGGAAUUCCCGGUGUAGCGGUGAAAUGUGUAGAGAUCGGGAGGAACACCGGUGGCGAAGGCGGGUCUCUGGGCAUCUCCUGACGCUGAGGCGCGAAAGCUAGGGGAGCAAACAGG
rnacentral:rRNA from 1 species